rnacentral:tRNA from 1 species
GGAAGGAUGGUCCAGUGGUUAGGGCACUAACCUAGGACAUGGGACACCUGGGUUCGAGUCCCUGCUCUGCCU